UACGGAGGGAGCUAGCGUUGUUCGGAAUUACUGGGCGUAAAGCGCACGUAGGUGGCGACGUAAGUCGGGGUGUGAAAGCCCCGGGCUCAACCUGGGAAUUGCGAUGGAGACUGCAAGGCUUGAAUCUGGCAGAGGGGGGGUAGAAUUCCAUGUGUAGCAGUGAAAUGCGUAGAGAUGUGGAGGAACACCAAUGGCGAAGGCAGCCUUCUGGGCCAACACUGACGCUCAUGCACGAAAGCGUGGGGAGCAAACAG
rnacentral:rRNA from 1 species